GUGCGGGGCUGGGGGCGGGGGGGGGGGGAAGCUCCGGGCAAAGCCACCCUGCCCGUGGGGGGGCACCAGGCGUGGGACUGCUGCCCACGGGGGGCUCCAGGUUAUGGGGGCCGCUACCCGUAGGGCGACUAGCCAGGGAGGGUGUUAGCCAUGGCUGGUUACUGCCCACAGGGGCUGGUAGCCGUGGGUGUGUUACCUAUGGGGGUCUACCAGCCACGGAAAACCUUAGCCGUGGGGGUGGUCCCUAUGGGGGGGCUGCUAGCCAUGGGGGUUACUACCUGUGGGGCUAGUAGCACAGGGACAGCUAGCCACGGGAGCUGUUAGCCCGUGGUCUUUGCAGGCGUGCGUGGCCUGUGAGAGGGCCGGGACCCGCUUCAGCACCCCGAGCAUCCCGGGGCUGCGCCCACCGGGGUCUCCCCACAGUCGCUCCAUCUUCCCACACACGUGGGAGCCGCUUUGUUGCUGUCAGGGGCUGGGGGAUGUGGCUGCUUGUCCGCCGCUGGAGCGAGGGGGCUCCCACGCCUCGGCCACGGUGUCAGCUUGACAGGGCCGCACGGUCAGGGGCAGCUUUGUCCGGGCUCAGGGAGGAAGGUCCGUCCGCCCCAGAUGGCUCCCUAAAGGAAAAAAGGGUUUUUUCCAGCUGAAGAGCUGAUGUAGCUCGGUGGAUCAUGGCGUUAUCUGACCAUCUAACCCACUACCAGCUGUGGGCAGCCAGCAUCACCAGGAGAAGCCGCCGUCGACAGCGCACACCUCGCCCCGUGCCCACCACCGGCCAGGCCAUGAAGACGGAGAAGGACGAGGCCGUGCCCGCCUUCUCCCCGGGGGGUAAAUACGCUGGAGAGGGGGCAGGUUGCAGCGAAGCGGCUCUGCCGGGCGGCCCCGUGCCGGUGGCGGGGAGCGGAGGGACCCCAGCCCAGGACCUGCGGCCGCUGAAGCGCAGACCUGUCCCAGGGAAGCACUACCAGUGCUCGAGCUACGGCUGCAAACAAGCCUUCCCCAGCAUGCAGGAGCUGAUGGACCACCUGAAGGUCCACUACAGACCCACGCAGUCCCUUGAGGGCAAAACCUUCCAGUGCCCCACGCUGGGCUGCACGGAGACCUUCCCCAGCAUGCAGGACCUCAUGGCCCACAUGAAGGUGCACUACAAGCCAAACCGCUACUUCAAGUGUGAGAACUGCAUGCUGCGCUUCCGGACGCACCGCUCCCUCUUCAAGCACCUGCACGUCUGCUCCGACAGCGCCAGCAGCCCCGCGCCGCCCCCCAAAGCCGACAAGCCCGUCCCGCCUGCUACCUCUGCCCUGGAGAAGGAGCCCCCAGCCAAGCCGCCCGAGGGGCUGCCCAAGCUCCCAAGCGUUAUCCGGCCCCCGGAGAAGGAAGCCGUUCUCCCCGGUGUGGACACUGCCCCGGCGGCCCCCGCUGCGCUCCCCACCAGCCUCCCCGAGCUGCCCGGCUCGCUGGAGGCGCUGCCGCUGGUCUCGCCGGCCCCCCACCCCUUCCCGCUGCUGGAGCCCAGCCUUUUCGGGCCGUCGUCCUUGACUCGGUUCUCGGGGCCGCCCCCCUCCUCGGUGCCGGGGCCGUUCCUGUCCUACGUGCACCCUUCACCCUACAGCUUGCCCCAGCCCCCGGCGCAGCAUCGCCUCCGGCCCUACGUGCCGGGCCACGGCCCCCCCAUCUCCAACGCCGUCUGGAAGAAAAGCCAAGGUGUGAGUGUCAGCCCACUCCUCCCAUGCUUUGGCUCAGGAGUGACUGCAGCCGCAUCGUGUGGGAGCACACGCGGGGCCGCUACACCUGCAUGCAGUGCCCCUACUCCACCGCCUCGCGGGAGGAGAUGACCCUGCACAUCGAGGACCACCGCAAGAACCCCCCGCCGCCCGGGCGCCUGGACACGGAGAUCGAUUUUGGGGUGGGCCUCACCCCCUUCCACACCAAGCUGACGUCGGAGAUGGAGAACUCCCUGUACUCCCAGCUCUGAUGGCCUCAGCUCCCACGGGACUGCUCCUGCGCCUCCCCAUCCCUCCCCGCAGUCGGGCAGGGGGCACCGCACAGCCCCAGGCCCCCACGCUGGGACAGGGACCCCUUCCUGGGUACCAGGCGCAUCCCCCAGCAUGGGGUGGCAGAGGGACGGAUGUUUUGUCCUCUUGAAUUUCUACCCUCCCUUUUAUUUUUGGUAAUUUUAAGCACCCGGAACCCUGCAUCUCUCCCUCCCCAUAAGGUUUCGUUGCUUCAGCUCCAGGGGCUCUCGGGGGAGCCCGGUAGGUUGCUCAGGAGUUAGUGGACUUCUCUGGAAUGAGGUCUCAAAAUAAUAAAUGGGAAUUGUA